rnacentral:rRNA from 1 species
CCCUUUAUACCCCGCGGAGAAAAUAUAGCAUAUAAGUAAGGGGCAGAGAGUAAUUAAACUAAAUAAGGAUUCCCUCAGUAAUGGCGAAUGAACAGGGAUCAGCUCAGCAUGGAAAUUGGGGCCUCUGGCCUUGAAUUGUAGUCUUGAGAUGGCAUCGCCAGCGGAGGCGCAGAUGUAAGCCUCUUGGAAAAGAGCAUCAAUGAGGGUGAGAGUCCCGUUUGUCAUCUGCAGUCCCCCGUGCACGGCUUGCUUUCUAAGAGUCACGUUCCUUGGGAUUGGAGCGCAAAUUGGGUGGUAAAUUUCAUCUAAAGCUAAAUAUUGGUUCGAGACCGAUAGCAAACAAGUACCAUGAGGGAAAGGUGAAAAGGACUUUGAAAAGAGAGUUAAAAGUGCCUGAAAUUGCUGAAAGGGAAGCGAAUGGAACCAGUUUUUCUUGGCGAGAUUGUUGCGUGCUAAUGUGAUGGCUUGUUGCUUCAACGCAAGUGUUGCAGCGGGUUUUGAUCUGGACGUGCGCGGUGCUUCUUGCCUUGGGUGUCAACGUCGGUUCAGACUUGAGGAAAACUCCAGGGACAUGGUAAGUCACUUCUGGGUGACUGAAAGUGCUUGGCAGAACUCAUUUCUGAACUGAAUUCCGCAUGUCUGGUCGCAGUGCUUUCACUUCCCGUGCUUCGUUCGGAGCUCUCUGGGCUCUGCGCUGGGCUGGGACGUGGGGCAUCUCCCUGACAUCAGUACGAUGACAAAAUGGUUUUAUUCGACCCGUCUUGAAACACGGACCAAGGAGUCUAACAUAUGUGCAAGUUCACGGGUGUUAAACCUGCUUGCGCAAUGAAAGUGACUGCUGGGAUAUUUGCACCAGCAACCGACCAAUCAAUUGUGAGAGGUUUGAGUAUGAGCAUAUCUGUUAGGACCCGAAAGAUGGUGAACUAUGCCUGAGAAAGGGCGAAGUCAGGGGAAACUCUGAUGGAGGCUCGUAGCGAUACUGACGUGCAAAUCGUUCGUCAUACCUUGGGUAUAGGGGCGAAAGACUUUUCGCCCCCUCUAGUAGCUGUGUUUUUCCCUCUCCGGAA